AUUGAACGCUGGCGGCAGGCCUAACACAUGCAAGUCGAACGAGUGGCGGACGUGUGAGUAAUGUCUGUGAACCUGCCUGUUGGUGGGGGAUAACUACUGGAAACGGUAGCUAAUACCGCAUACCUUCAGUUGUCCCCAGAUGGGAUUAGCUAGUAGGUGGUGUAAAGGCUCACCUAGGCGACGAUCCCUAGCUGUGCUGAACGGCGGACGAGCCAAACUGGGACGGGGAAACGGCCAAGACUCCUACGGGAGGCAGAAGUGGGGAAUAUGGCACAAUGGGCGAAAGCCUGAUGCAGCAAUGCCGCGUGUAUGAAGAAGGCUCUAGGGGUGUAAAGUACUUGCAGACGGGAGGCGUUACCGACAGAAGAAGCACCGGCUAACUCCGUGCCAGCAGCCGCGGUAAUUC
rnacentral:rRNA from 1 species